UUGCAGACCUGAUGUUGGUUAUGAUCAGAGAAGCAUCUGAGCACCUUUACAGGUUGCCUCAAGUACCUACUCCAAAAUCCUGCCAGCUCUUGGAAGUCUUGGACCAUUAAUUGAUCAUUUCACGUAAAUUAAUAUUUUCUUCUUUAAAUACUUAUAAAUUAUAUGCCAGAGACUAAUUACUAAGAGGGGCCGUUUCUUAUCAAAUACAACUUAUUAUACUGUUCGCCCGUAUUAGGUUUACACCCUGUAUAUACCCGUCCUAGCGAAAUCACGAUAUGCAUUUUCGCCACUGACGGUAACGGAACUAAAUAAUAUUAAAUAUAAUUUUCCCUCGGUUUCUGAACACGGUUUUAGAGUUGGCAACCCCGGACCGCGACGCGACGCCAUCUUUUAUUUAUUCUAUCGUGGUGCGCGUCCUUCUGUGAGUUAGCUGACGGAAAUAUGGUUCAGGGUUGUUUUUGCCCAUGCCCCAUCAUCUGCCGCGAUCCUGGACAAGUUGGCGAUCAACAACAGGAUCCGGCCUGCGUGCAAUGGCCAGUGAAGUCUAUCCCAGUGCCUGUAUUAUUAUCAAGUCAUCACGCUGUCGUCGUCGGACUCGUCGGUUACAAAUGACGCGGCAGAUCUCUCUUAAGCUUAGAAAGAUGGUUGUGGCACAGUGCUCUGCUACUUCGUGCCACAGGCCAUUCUCCAACUGCAGAUCUACGUGUCAGCGCGACAGUGCACUCACUCACCUUGUUUGGCCCGGUGGAAUUUGGUAUGUCACUUGAGGCGAGGAGGACUUGAGAAGGUGCGUCUGCGAACGGCCUUAGUGACGCCUCUUCAGCGCGACGGGUGGUCUCCUCAAAUAUGAGAAGGAGCUCGGGUCCUGCGGGCUCUUAACCGUCGUAGUAUUCACGCAGUGUUUUAAAAUAGUGUUUGUGUGUAUUAUGAUAACAUUUAUGUUCAAUUCAAAUGUCUAACUCUACAUAAGUAUUCAUAUCAUUUUUCAUUAGUAUGGUGCUGUUUUUGCGGUCUGAAGAAAAAACUUUAAAUAAAAUAAUUAUGUUGUCUGUA
rnacentral:lncRNA from 1 species